GACGUAGGGUGCAAGCGUUGUCCGGAUUUACUGGGCGUAAAGAGCGCGUAGGCGGCUCGUUAAGUGAGAAGUGAAAGCUCUGGGCUCAACCCAGAAACCGCUUUUCAUACUGGCAAGCUGGAGUGAUGCAGAGGUGGAUAGAAUUCCCGGUGUAGCGGUGAAAUGCGUUGAUAUCGGGAGGGAAAUACCCGUGGCGAAGGCGGUCCACUGGGCAUCA
rnacentral:rRNA from 1 species